rnacentral:rRNA from 1 species
GAUCAACGCUGGCGGCGUGCCUAAUGCAUGCAAGUCGAACGGGGUUCACUUCGGUGGACUUACGUGGCGGACGGGUGAGGAACGCGUGGGCAACCUGCCCUUUGGUGGGGGAUAACCGCUGGAAACAGUGGGUAAUACCGCAUAAGACUUUAUUCCGAGUGGGGGAUAAAGGGAAAGCAUUUAUGCGCCGAAGGAGGGGCCUGCGUCCGAUUAGCUAGACGGUGGGGUAACGGCCUACCGUGGCAGUGAUCGGUAGCUGGUUUGAGAGGAUGAUCAGCCACACGGGGACUGAGACACGGCCCCG